UACGUAGGGUGCGAGCGUUAAUCGGAAUUACUGGGCGUAAAGCGUGCGCAGGCGGUUUUUUAAGCCAGAUGUGAAAUCCCCGGGCUCAACCUGGGAAUGGCAUUUGGGACUGCAAGGCUCGAGUUUGGCAGAGGAGACUGGAAUUCCUGGUGUAGCAGUGAAAUGCGUAGAUAUCAGGAGGAAUACCGAUGGCGAAGGCAGGUCUCUGGGCUGAAACUGACGCUCAUGCACGAAAGCGUGGGGAGCAAACAGG
rnacentral:rRNA from 1 species